rnacentral:rRNA from 1 species
AUGAACGCUAGCGGCAGGCUUAACACAUGCAAGUCGAACGGUAACAGAUCUAGCUUGCUAGAUGCUGACGAGUGGCGCACGGGUGCGUAACGCGUAUGCAACUUACCUCUAACAGGGAGAUAGCCCAUGGAAACGUGGAUUAAUACCCCAUAAUAUUAAGAAUAGGCAUCUAUUCUUUCUUAAAACUUCGGUGGUUAGAGAUAGGCAUGCGUUCUAUUAGCUUGUUGGUAAGGUAACGGCUUACCAAGGCAACGAUAGAUAGGGGGCCUGAGAGGGUGAUCCCCCACACUGGUACUGAGACACGGACCAGACUCCUACGGGAGGCAGCAGUGAGGAAUAUUGCGCAAUGGACGAAAGUCUGACGCAGCCAUGCCGCGUGCAGGAUGAAUGCCCUAUGGGUUGUAAACUGCUUUUAUUUGGGAAGAAACCCCCUUACGUGUAAAGGGCUGACGGUACCAAACGAAUAAGGACCGGCUAACUCCGUGCCAGCAGCCGCGGUAAUACGGAGGGUCCAAGCGUUAUCCGGAUUUAUUGGGUUUAAAGGGUCCGUAGGCGGAUUUUUAAGUCAGUGGUGAAAGCCUGCAGCUUAACUGUAGAAUUGCCAUUGAUACUGAAAAUCUUGAAUCUAGCUGAAGUGGGCGGAAUAUAACCAUGUAGCGGGUGAAAUGCAUAGAGAUGUUAUAGAACACCAAUUGCGAAGGCAGCUCACUAAACUAGUAUGACGCUCAGGGACGAAAGCGUGGGGAGCGAACAGGAUUAGAUACCUGGUAGUCCACGCCGUAAACGAUGAUUACUCGUUGCAGGUAACAUACAUUCUGUGACUAAGCGAAAGUUUUAAGUAAUCCACUGGGGAGUACGAUCGCAAGAUUGAAACUCAAAGGAAUUGACGGGGGCCCGCACAAGCGGUGGAGCAUGUGGUUUAAUUCGAUGAUACGCGAGGAACCUUACCAGGGCUUAAAUGUAGAAUGACAGAUUGGGAAACCAGUCCUUCUUCGGACAAUCUACAAGGUGCUGCAUGGUUGUCGUCAGCUCGUGCUGUGAAGUGUCGGGUUAAGUCCCAUAACGAGCGCAACCCCUACCUCUAGUUGCCAGCGAGUAAUGUCGGGGACUCUAGAGGGACUGCCGGUGCAAACCGAGAGGAAGGUGGGGAUGACGUCAAAUCAUCACGGCCCUUACGUCCUGGGCUACACACGUGCUACAAUGGUAUGAACAAAGGGCAGCCACCUGGUGACAGGGAGCGAAUCCUUAAAUCAUAUCUCAGUUCGGAUUGGAGUCUGCAACUCGACUCCAUGAAGCUGGAAUCGCUAGUAAUCGCGCAUCAGCCAUGGCGCGGUGAAUACGUUCCCGGGCCUUGUACACACCGCCC